AUUGAACGCUGGCGGCAGGCCUAACACAUGCAAGUCGAACGAGCGGCGGCCGGGUGAGUACUGUCUGGGAAACUGCCUGAUGGAGGGGUAUAACUACUGGAAACGGUAGCUAAUACCGCAUACCAUCAGAUGUGCCCCGAUGGGAUUAGCUAGUAGGGGGGGUAACGGCUCACCUAGGUGACGCUCCCUAGCUGGGCUGAGAGGAUGACCAGCCACAAUGGAACUGAGAGACGGUCCAUACUCCGACGGGAGGCAGCAGGGGGGAAUAUUGGACGAUGGGCGCAAGCCUGAUGCAGCCAUGCCGCGUGUAUGAAGAAGGCCUUCGGGUUGUAAAGUACUUUCAGCGAGGAGGCGUUACUCGCAGAAGAAGCACCGGCUAACUCCGUGCCAGCAGCCGCGGUAAUAC
rnacentral:rRNA from 1 species